CCUACGGGUGGCAGCAGUGGGGAAUAUUGCACAAUGGGGGAAACCCUGAUGCAGCGACGCCGCGUGAGUGAAGAAGUAUUUCGGUAUGUAAAGCUCUAUCAGCAGGGAAGAAAUAGCGACCUUUGGGUCGCCAGACGGUACCUGAUUAAGAAGCCCCGGCUAACUACGUGCCAGCAGCCGCGGUAAUACGUAGGGGGCAAGCGUUAUCCGGAUUUACUGGGUGUAAAGGGAGCGUAGACGGCAGCGCAAGUCAGAAGUGAAAGCCCGGGGCUCAACUCCGGGACUGCUUUUGAAACUGUUGAACUAGAUUGCAGGAGAGGUAAGUGGAAUUCCUAGUGUAGCGGUGAAAUGCGUAGAUAUUAGGAGGAACACCAGUGGCGAAGGCGGCUUACUGGACUGUAAAUGACGCUGAGGCUCGAAAGCGUGGGGAGCAAACAGGAUUAGAUACCCCAGUAGUC
rnacentral:rRNA from 1 species